AUUGAACGCUAGCGGCAGGCUUAACACAUGCAAGUCGAGCGAGCGGCGGACGGGUGAGUAAUGUCUGGGAAACUGCCUGAUGGAGGGGGAUACCUACUGGAAACGGUAACUAAUACCGCCUACCAUCAGAUGUGCCCAGAUGGGAUUAGCUAGUAGGUGGGGUAAUGGCUCACCUAGGCGACGAUCCCUAGCUGGUCUGAGAGGAUGACAAGCCAAACUGGAAAGUAGACCGGGUCCAGACGCCAACGGGAGGCAGCAGUGCGUAAGAUUGCACAAUGGUGUAAAGGCGGAUGCAGGCAUGCCGCUUGCUUGAAGAAGCCCUGCGGGCUGUAAAGCACGUUAAGCUAGGAGGCGUUACUCGCAUAAGAAGCACCGGCUAACUCCGUGGCAGCAGCCGCGGUAAUAC
rnacentral:rRNA from 1 species